ACCCUCCAAGCCUACUUCUUUUUUUUUUUUUUUGCGGUACGCGGGCCUCUCACUGUUGUGGCCUCUCCCGUUGCGGAGCACAGGCUCCGGACGCGCAGGCUCAGCAGCCAUGGCUCACGGGCCCAACCGCCCCGCGGCAUGUGGGAUCUUCCCAGACCGGGGCACGGACCCGCGGCCCCUGCAUUGGCAGGCAGACUCUCAACCACUGCGCCACCAGGGAAGCCCCCAAACCUACUUCUUGUUCCGGUUUCCCACUCAGUGAGGGCUCCACCACCCACCAAGCUGCUCAAGCCCAAGGAACUGGGUGUAAUCUCUGACUCCUUCCUCACCCGCCCCCUCCCAUGUAUUUAUUGACCAAUUCCCCCAGACGUUACCUCCUAAGCAGCUCUGACGUCUGUCCAAGUCACUCUGCCCACCACCACCACUCCAGUCCACGGUUCCAUCAUCAUCCUUCACCUGGACCACAGCUCCUGCCUCCUCAUUGGCCUCCUGGCCUCUCCAUUCUACCUUCCUCCAGGCCAUCCUCUGCACAGCAGCCUGAGUGGUCCUUCCAAUAUGCGCGUGUCGUCACGGCAUUCCCUUACUAUGAACAAAAGUGGCUAGUUCAGCUUGCAAGUGCAACUAUUAAUACAAGUGUUUCUAUUGAUACAACCAUUGUGCUUUAUUUGCAGCCAAAGCACUUUCUGCUACUUCUCAUUUCAUAACACAGUGUACCCAAGGGUUGAGAGUUAAUACAAUUAAUAUUUAUUUACUGCUUCAUCAAGUGCAUUCUAAAGUGAAACUGGCAUUAAUUUUUUCUUCUUUUUUUGCUGCAAGAGCCUGGCGGUGGAGAGCACGAUGACCAUAGCAAGGUUUGACACCAUGACCUUGAUUUGUGCUAAGGCAGCAGUCUAACCCAGAUUUUGCAACAUCACUGUAAUGUCAACAUAGUGACAAAGGUAAAUAAUGUCCUAUUAUUUUUAUGAAAAUGGUUUGACCUGGCAACCCCCGCUCCCCAAAAGGGUCUCAGGGACCCCCAUGGGCCACACGUUGAGAAUCACCAAACUGGAAAACUUGUAUCCACUCUUUAGAUCUUAGCUCUCUCUCUGCACAGACCUUUAGUUGUCCCCCAAAUCUGUUUUCUCCUUCUUCCUUAGUAAUAGAACCCUCGAUUUUUAGCUGAGCUCAUUGUUGCCCAGAUUUCAGUGAUAUUUCCCAGCCUCCCUUGCAGCUGGGUAUGGCUAAAUGACUCGGGUUUGGUUAAUGGAAGUAAGAGCAAGUGUUAGGUGCAACCUCUAAGGCUUGUCCUUCAAGGGAGAGGGUGUGUCCUCCUUCAGGCAGGAAUGCAAACAUCCUUCCUGUGUACCGCCUGCCUGCUUUUCUCAUUUACAUGACUGAGCAGGCUCCUGUAGGCAUUUAAGAUUGUAACCCCUGACCUGGCCCAGUUCUCUCCAUUCAUUGGUAUAUUCAACAAGUGUGCAGUGUUUAACAGCCCUAGGCACUCUGCUGGGGCCUGGGGGUGUGAUGUUCAGUAAGCUAGACAUGGUGACACGGACACUAAACAUUUAAUAAUUCCAUCACAACUGGAUAAGUGCCACAAAGGGAGAAGCACAGAAUGUUGGGACAGCUUAUCAUAGGGAACCUUAUUGCAAUUGGGAGGUUGAGAAAGGCUUCCACGGGAAGCAUAGAUCAGUAACCACUGGGCUCUGCUCUCAGUGAAAGAAAAUUCCACAUAACAGAGGCUGGAAUGAGACUGAAGUUGAUUUCUCCCCUGAAGGAAGCCUGGAGGCGGGUGGUCCAGAGGUGAGGGUUGUGGGGUGAGGAACAGCACACCCUCAUCCUCCGCGUGACCCCUCCUCCUAGUCUGAGAAGGCUGCUCAGGUGCCCCAGUUGAAUGAAGGUUCCCUUGUGGUAAGACCUCCAAGUACCCUGUGCGGCUUCUCCCUUGGAAGCACUUAUCCAAGUGAAACAAUUAUGAAAUUGUCGUUUAGUGUCUGUCUCACGGGCUACAGUGGUGACCACAUCUGUCUUACUUAGCACCCAGCAGAGAGCCUGGGGCCUGGUAGACUCUUAAUACUUGUCGAAUACUUUUUAAAAUAUUAAGUUGUAUUGAUAUUGAUUGAUUUUAAAUAUAUGGUGGUAAUAGACACAUCCCAUAAAAUUUACCAUUUUAACCAUUUUUAAGUGUUCAGUUCUAUGCCAUUAAGUACGUUCAUGUUAUUGUACAACCUUCACCACCAACCAUCUCCAGAACUUUUUCAUCUUCCCCCACUGAAACUCUGUCCCUCUUAAAUGCAAACUCUCUGUUCCCCCCUCCCCCCAGCCCCUGGCUGUUGAAUACUUUCUGAAUGAAUGAAUGCAGAGGGGCUAGAGAAAGGCUCACAGACUUAAAUGCCUAUAGGAGCCUGCUAAGCACUAUAACUGAGGAAAGCUGGUAGUAAACAAUAGGGAGGGGUGAAGACUGAGGUAAAAAGAGGCCCUGCCUCAGCUACUGAGGACAGCUACUAACCACACAGCUCCAGCUGAGCUGACAGUAGAGGUUGUACCAGAACGUGAACCCAGAGUCGCCAGCUCUGCCAACAUUUCAACAGAAGGUGGAAAACCAGACAUUUAUGUAAUAUCUCCUAAUUUUAAUGUUGGCAACUAAUUUUGUGUUUUGUUCUAACACUGAAUAAAUCACACAAAGCAUUCCAAGGGCUGGAUCUAGCUCAGGGCCCACCAGUUUGCAACUGAUGUACCAGAUGGACGGUGUGAUGCCACCCAGCUCUUGGGUCUGUGGCCUGUGAAGAUGGGUUCCCAAGAACCAAUGCCUCCCUCUGGGGUUUUCAAGCAGGAAAAGAAAAGGGGAAGAGACAGCAAGUUUAUAUUGAACAUGUAGAACUGCUGUGUGCUUUAUAUGGUUGUGUAUUUUAUUUAAUCCUUACAGCAAUGAUCGGGCAUAAGUAUUAUUUUCCAGACCAUACAGAUGAGGAAACUGAGGCUCAAAAAGUUUAAGAGAAUCACUAACAGUCGCAAAACUGGUAACUACCCCUGAUGGCACUAGGAUUUGAACUUACCUGCUUGGCCCCUAGUCCCUGGAUGGUCCCCCUCACCCUACUGCCUCUCCUCUGCAGUAAGAAAGGCUAGGAGGACUUCCCUGGUGGCACAGUGGUUAAGAAUCCGCCUGCCAAUGCAGGGGACACGGGUUGGAGCCCUGGUCCGUGAAGAUCCCACAUGCCAUGGAGCAACUAAGCCCGUGCGCCACAAUUACUGAGCCUGUGCUCUAGAGCCCAAGAGACACAACUACUGAGCCCAUGUGCCACAACUACUGAAGCCGUGUGCCUAGAGCCCGUGCUCCACAACAAGAGAAGCCACCGCAGUGAGAAGCCCGCGCACCGCCACAAAGAGUAGCCCCAGCUCGCAGCAAUUAGAGACAGCCGGUGUGCAGCAACGAAGACCCAACGCAGCCAAAAAUAAAUAAAUAAAAUAAAUUAAAAAAGAAAGGCCAGGAUGAAGGGGGAAGGGCAAGAUAGGGGUAGGUGGUUAAGAGAUACAAACUACUAUGUAUAAAAUAAAUAGGCACAGGGAAAUAUAGCCAUCAUUUUGUAAUAACUUUAAAUGGAGUAUAAUCUAUAAAAAUAUUGAAUCACUAUGCUGUACACCUGAGACUAAUAUAAUAUUGUAAAUCAACUAUACUUCAAUUUAAAAAAAAGAAGAAAGGCCAGGAUGAGGCGGCGGGAAGUCUUCUCCCACAGCAGUGGAGGGGGUAGGAGGCCAGUGACCUCAUCGGGGGGCGUCUGAGGCUUGGCGUCACCGGGAUCCCUCACGUCUAGAGAGAGAUUUUCCAUUUUCCAAGCACUGUCACAUACAUUAGCAUAUGCCAGACCUUUUCAGCGCGUAUUACUAUCCUCAUUUUACAGAAGAAGAAACCGAAAUUAAGCUCUCUGCCCCAUUAGAUGAUGGUCAUGGGCAGCCCUGUGAAGAGGCCCACGUGGGGAGAGACCAACGCCCCUGGCGGGCAGCCACCUGAGGGAACCUUUUCACCACCAGAUCCUCCAGCCCAGCCCAGCCUUCAGAUGCCUACAGCCCUGGCCCAAAUCGUGGCAGAAACCCCCGUAAGAGACCCGCACCAGAACUACUCAGCCAGGCUUCUUCCGGAUUCCUGAACUUGUGAGAUAGUAUCUUUACUCUCUUA